rnacentral:rRNA from 2 species
AGACCCGAAACCCGGUGAUCUAGCCAUGGGCAGGUUGAAGGUUGGGUAACACUAACUGGAGGACCGAACCGACUAAUGUUGAAAAAUUAGCGGAUGACCUGUGGCUGGGGGUGAAAGGCCAAUCAAACCGGGAGAUAGCUGGUUCUCCCCGAAAGCUAUUUAGGUAGCGCCUCGUGAAUUCAUCUCCGGGGGUAGAGCACUGUUUCGGCUAGGGGGCCAUCCCGGCUUACCAACCCGAUGCAAACUGCGAAUACCGGAGAAUGUUAUCACGGGAGACACACGGCGGGUGCUAACGUCCGUCGUGAAGAGGGAAACAACCCAGACCGCCAGCUAAGGUCCCAAAGUCAUGGUUAAGUGGGAAACGAUGUGGGAAGGCCCAGACAGCCAGGAUGUUGGCUUAGAAGCAGCCAUCAUUUAAAGAAAGCGUAAUAGCUCACUGGUCGAGUCGGCCUGCGCGGAAGAUGUAACGGGGCUAAACCAUGCACCGAAGCUGCGGCAGCGAACGUAUCACUUAAAGCGAUUCAGCGGGUUACGAUUGACGGAGCGAAGCGACGUCAAAGCGUAUACAAAGUCGAGUCGGUUUAAGGAUACGUUCGUUGGGUAGGGGAGCGUUCUGUAAGCCUGUGAAGGUGUGUCGUGAGGCAUGCUGGAGGUAUCAGAAGUGCGAAUGCUGACAUAAGUAACGAUAAAGCGGGUGAAAAGCCCGCUCGCCGGAAGACCAAGGGUUCCUGUCCAACGUUAAUCGGGGCAGGGUGAGUCGACCCCUAAGGCGAGGCCGAAAGGCGUAGUCGAUGGGAAACGGGUUAAUAUUCCCGUACUUGGUGUUACUGCGAAGGGGGGACGGAGAAGGCUAUGUUGGCCGGGCGACGGUUGUCCCGGUUUAAGCGUGUAGGUGUGUGUUCCAGGUAAAUCCGGUUCACUUUAACACUGAGGCGUGAUGACGAGGCACUACGGUGCUGAAGCAACAAAUGCCCUGCUUCCAGGAAAAGCCUCUAAGCAUCAGGUAACAUCAAAUCGUACCCCAAACCGACACAGGUGGUCAGGUAGAGAAUACCAAGGCGCUUGAGAGAACUCGGGUGAAGGAACUAGGCAAAAUGGUGCCGUAACUUCGGGAGAAGGCACGCUGACAUGUAGGUGAAGUGAUUUACUCAUGGAGCUGAAGUCAGUCGAAGAUACCAGCUGGCUGCAACUGUUUAUUAAAAACACAGCACUGUGCAAACACGAAAGUGGACGUAUACGGUGUGACGCCUGCCCGGUGCCGGAAGGUUAAUUGAUGGGGUCAGCGCAAGCGAAGCUCCUGAUCGAAGCCCCGGUAAACGGCGGCCGUAACUAUAACGGUCCUAAGGUAGCGAAAUUCCUUGUCGGGUAAGUUCCGACCUGCACGAAUGGCGUAAUGAUGGCCAGGCUGUCUCCACCCGAGACUCAGUGAAAUUGAACUCGCUGUGAAGAUGCAGUGUACCCGCGGCAAGACGGAAAGACCCCGUGAACCUUUACUAUAGCUUGACACUGAACAUUGAGCCUUGAUGUGUAGGAUAGGUGGGAGGCUUUGAAGCGUGGACGCCAGUCUGCGUGGAGCCGACCUUGAAAUACCACCCUUUAAUGUUUGAUGUUCUAACGUGGAUCCGUAAUCCGGGUUGCGGACAGUGUCUGGUGGGUAGUUUGACUGGGGCGGUCUCCUCCUAAAGAGUAACGGAGGAGCACGAAGGUUGGCUAAUCCUGGUCGGACAUCAGGAGGUUAGUGCAAUGGCAUAAGCCAGCUUGACUGCGAGCGUGACGGCGCGAGCAGGUGCGAAAGCAGGUCAUAGUGAUCCGGUGGUUCUGAAUGGAAGGGCCAUCGCUCAACGGAUAAAAGGUACUCCGGGGAUAACAGGCUGAUACCGCCCAAGAGUUCAUAUCGACGGCGGUGUUUGGCACCUCGAUGUCGGCUCAUCACAUCCUGGGGCUGAAGUAGGUCCCAAGGGUAUGGCUGUUCGCCAUUUAAAGUGGUACGCGAGCUGGGUUUAGAACGUCGUGAGACAGUUCGGUCCCUAUCUGCCGUGGGCGCUGGAGAACUGAGGGGGGCUGCUCCUAGUACGAGAGGACCGGAGUGGACGCAUCACUGGUGUUCGGGUUGUCAUGCCAAUGGCACUGCCCGGUAGCUAAAUGCGGAAGAGAUAAGUGCUGAAAGCAUCUAAGCACGAAACUUGCCCCGA